rnacentral:rRNA from 1 species
CCUACGGGAGGCAGCAGUGGGGAAUAUUGGGCAAUGGAGGAAACUCUGACCCAGCAACGCCGCGUGAAUGAUGAAGGUCCUCGGAUUGUAAAGUUCUUUUUUUAGGGAAGAAGAAAGUGACGGUACCUUAGGAUUAAGCCUCGGCUAACUACGUGCCAGCAGCCGCGGUAAUACGUAGGAGGCGAUCGUUAUCCGGAAUGACUGGUCGUAAAGGGUGCGUAGGUGGUUUGGCAAGUUAGUAGCGUAACUCCAAGGCUCAACCUUGGAACUGCUACUGACACUGUUGGACUUGAGUGCAGGAGGGGCAAGCGGAAUUCGUGGUGUAGCGGUGGAAUGCGUAGAUAUUAGGAGGAACACCGGUGGCGAAGGCGGGUUGCUAGACUGUAACUGACACUGAGGCACGAAAGCGUGGGUAGCAAACAGGAUUAGAUACCCGAGUAGUC